rnacentral:tRNA from 1 species
GCCUCGCUAGCUCAAUCGGUAGAGCGUGAGACUCUUAUUGUAAUCUCAAGGUUGCGGGUUCGACCCCCGCGUGGGGCU